rnacentral:lncRNA from 1 species
AAUGCUUUUCCAACUUGACUCUGUUAAAACCCCUAAUUUCUUAAAUCUUCUUUGUUUUGUUCUGCGUAUUAGCAUGACUACUUGAUUUUGGUAAGUUUCAGUAGGUUACCAUACUUCAAAUGGGUUUUAUACUGAGUCUUUAGCCUACUUGUAUCUCCUCUAUGUGAUUGUUAUUCAUAUUUAUUUGUUCAUAUCUUACUAUCUCUCUUAGUCAAAAAUCUCUGCUCUCUCUUGUGCUAUUUUCUAAUGUUAGCCGGCUGCAAGCCAAGGCUAAUCAUUUGUGCUCUCUUGUUCUCUCAUUUUUAUUAUUUCUCUCUUCACUGGUGUGUUCUAGUUUCGAUUUUAAGUUUUAACAACAACAUGCUUCUAUUAUUAUUUCAGUUUCUCCUAUUUUUAGUUUGUUUC